AUCCCUUCUCAGCCUUUUGGUUAAGAUGAAGUAUAGUUUCUGUUCUUAUCAGUUUAAAAUCCUAUUACAUCCUGAUAUAUUUCUUAAUAUUAUUACCUCCAUGGGAUUAUAGGGUAAGAGCUAUGUGCUCUGUCAUUUCAUAACCAAGAUGCCUCUUAGUAUGGAACAUGUAUUUAGUAGAUGCUCAAUAAC